CCCUGUUGAUCCAGAUGCUGCCUCUCCAGUACCAUAUCUGCCUGCAUGCCCUCAUGCUCCCUGCCAUGCUGACAAUGGACUAAACCUCUAAGACAGGAGGAAAACCCCAAGGCACUAGAUUACUGCCUGCCAUGCUAUCACAGAGUGUGAAUCAACUACAUCACGACACACAGAGCCACAGAGCAGAAUCCAGAUUCUCCAUUUGAUAGAACCAAAGAGCAUUCCUCCGCCUCUAAAACAAGCCAAGAUGCAUGAGCAAUUUCAGGUUAGAGCGGGCAGAAGACAGCAAGCAGCCCCAGCACUUGUGCUUGCUUUCAUGGUGGGUACCUGGCACAGGAAGACAGCAAGCAAUGGGCUAGCAGAAGGAGCCACUUGAUCAGCACAGGUGUUUCCAUCCGAUGAACUGGGGUCACCUUUUACACACCUGCUAACUCCUUGUUAGCAGGAUUGGGUGGAUUUAACCAAUUGGUAAGCUGUGUAUACAGGUUUUUGCCGUGUAAUGGAUCCUCUUGACUCUAGAGAGUGGUAUUUUAUGGCAGAUAAGGAAAGUAAGGCAAUAUAAAAUAAAGGCAAAAAGUGGGAAGGGGCGUGUUCCAUAUCUAUUACAGUGUGUGAAACAGGCAGGUGCUUAUUACACCUUUAGUGUGUGGUAUGACUUGCAGAAUAUUGGCAUUUGGGGGACUACCACAGUUAAUCGUCACAAUAAACAAAGCCUGAAGAGAGGACAGGGUAGCUGAGUGGGGAAGGAACUGGCCAGUCCACAUGGGACAUUUCAAUGGAGACUUGUAAUUAGAAAGAGAUGCUGGAAAGCAAGUAGGCUGACCCGUAGAAGUCAAUGAAUUUGGAGAGAGCUAAUUUAAAUAAAAUAUGUGUUGUUUCAGAACUGAGUAAUACAUAGUGUGACUUCCAUAGAGUAAAAAUAAGGUGGAGUUAUGGCAGGACACUCUUACUGGAUGCUGUCACCUGAGGCACACAUCUUGCAAGCAAAUUGCUACCAUAAAAUUUUCUUGCUGUUAGUACGGGAAGCCCACAUUGGCUUUGUCUUUACUAUUGGCAAGCUUGAUAAAGCUUUGAAACAAAAAGAGUAUAGGGGCUUUAAUCAAACUGGCUGAAUUCCCAGCCCCUGCAAAAUGACCUUACAGAACUCUGGGGUAGUCUGGAGUUGCAGCUGUCAGCAUUUGGCCAGAGAAUAAAAUGUUCCUUCCUUUUCCGUGUAUUUUCUUUACUGGACGAAAGAAAAUAAAUGGGUUUAAAGAAAUACACAGAAAUCUGUAGAAAACCUUAAAUAUGGCAUCUCUAUGACUUUGCAAAAUAAACAAAGAAUAAAGAUGUAUUCAUGUGCA